rnacentral:rRNA from 1 species
GAUGAACGCUAGCUACAGGCUUAACACAUGCAAGUCGAGGGGAAACGACAUCGAAAGCUUGCUUUUGAUGGGCGUCGACCGGCGCACGGGUGAGUAACGCGUAUCCAACCUGCCCACCACUUGGGGAUAACCUUGCGAAAGUAAGACUAAUACCCAAUGAUAUCUCUAGAAGACAUCUGAAAGAGAUUAAAGAUUUAUCGGUGAUGGAUGGGGAUGCGUCUGAUUAGCUUGUUGGCGGGGUAACGGCCCACCAAGGCAACGAUCAGUAGGGGUUCUGAGAGGAAGGUCCCCCACAUUGGAACUGAGACACGGUCCAAACUCCUACGGGAGGCAGCAGUGAGGAAUAUUGGUCAAUGGACGAGAGUCUGAACCAGCCAAGUAGCGUGCAGGAUGACGGCCCUAUGGGUUGUAAACUGCUUUUAUAAGGGAAUAAAGUGAGUCUCGUGAGGCUUUUUGCAUGUACCUUAUGAAUAAGGACCGGCUAAUUCCGUGCCAGCCGCCGCGGUAA